rnacentral:piRNA from 1 species
UGGGUGAGACGCUGCCAUAGGUGUCGGUGU